rnacentral:rRNA from 1 species
AACGAACGCUGGCGGCAUGCCUAACACAUGCAAGUCGAACGAGACCUUCGGGUCUAGUGGCGCACGGGUGCGUAACGCGUGGGAACCUGCCCUGAGGUUCGGAAUAACUCCCCGAAAGGGGUGCUAAUACCGGAUAAUGUCUUCGGACCAAAGAUUUAUCGCCUUUGGAUGGGCCCGCGUUGGAUUAGCUAGUUGGUAGGGUAAAAGCCUACCAAGGCGACGAUCCAUAGCUGGUCUGAGAGGAUGAUCAGCCACACUGGGACUGAGACACGGCCCAGACUCCUACGGGAGGCAGCAGUGGGGAAUAUUGGACAAUGGGCGAAAGACUGAUCCAGCAAUGCCGCGUGAGUGAUGAAGGCCUUAGGGUUGUAAAGCUCUUUUAACCGGGAUGAUAAUGACAGUACCGUGAGAAUAAGCUCCGGCUAACUCCGUG